rnacentral:rRNA from 1 species
UACGAACCGUACGAACGUUAUUCGGAAUCACUGGGCUUAAAGGGUGCGUAGGCGGCGCUGAAAGUUGGGUGUGAAAUCCCUCGGCUCAACCGAGGAACUGCAUUCAAAACUACAGUGCUUGAGGGAGACAGAGGUGAGCGGAACUUAGGGUGGAGCGGUGAAAUGCGUUGAUAUCCUAAGGAACACCCGUGGCGAAAGCGGCUCACUGGGUCUCUUCUGACGCUGAGGCACGAAAGCUAGGGGAGCGAACGGG